rnacentral:lncRNA from 1 species
UGGGAAAGCUCUUACUGGCUGGAGAGUUCAUCAACAAGCAUUUGGGCCGCCAAUCUGGGUCGAAAACUGCAAUUGCUUUCAGCCGGAAAACGGCAGAUGCUUCAAAGAUAUAAGGAACAUCACAUUAACAUAAUAUUAUACUCUAUAAACGAUAAAGCAAGGGGGAAAUUUUGUUUUCUCCUCUUGCAUUCUGAUGUGUCUAGUAAGACUACCAUGUUUUAUACGAAAAGAAACUCAAAAUGAAGAGCCAUUCAUUGUCUUCAGAAUCAUUGUAUUGAGAUCAGUUAUAUGCAUAUACAAAAAGUAUUAGUACAAGGAUAGAAGAAAAAAGGACAUUGUCCUCAGAAUCAUUCUAUUGAUUGAGAUCAGUUGUAAGAAGUAUAGUACAAGAAUAGAAGAGAAAAGAACAGCUGCAUAAUGAUAUAGCCACGCCACUAUGUUAUGCUCCUCGGUGGUGUAUUUGGUUUUUCUUUCUUUUUCUGCUUCUUUCGCAAUCUGUUUCUGGUAAUGCAGGUGGUAACAUUUCUCUGCUCUGACUUGCAUCAAAGAAGCUGGGAAUUGGUUCCAAUUGCAUGGUUUCACAUUCAGUUAAUUUAAGUUCUUGUUGCUGACUUUGUAGUAGUUUUGCCAAUUGAUGGAAUACUAUUAAUGGUCCCCAAACUUGUACAAAUUGAUUUUCAACUUUAUAAUUUUGUCUUCAAAUGGGUCCUCACCCAACACCGGUAGGGGUAAUUUUCACCUUGGUCCGCCAUGAAGUUUCAUUUAAUCUCAAUUUCCUUUAGGUUUGUAUAUUAGGCACUAGAGUAUUUCUGGCUGUGCCAAUGCCCGAUUUAUUGUGUAAAAAAUAUUGAAAAAUUUCUUGCCAUGGCUUGUGCCCACACAAAUUGCUUUUAGCAACAUGGUUGUGCGCAUAUGAAAGAUCUUCACUAAUGAGCAACCUGGGCGCAUUGAUUUCUAUAAGCAUAAACAAGAGCCUCAAUUCUACAUGCAUAAAGCUCAUAUAUGAAGAAUAGAUAGGAAUAAACAUCUUCGUGGCAUGCAAAUAAAAGAAUCAUAAGUUAAGGAAAUUUGUUUUUGGAACCAAAGGUAAAGUUGAGGUACAUGUCAUCAAUUACAAAUUUGUACACCAAAAAUUUUCAACCUUCAAGUUUAUUAUCAUUACACUUGCCUUUUUAUUAAGAUAUAAACAUAAUUAAAUCAAGAUCGACUAUAAUCCAAUGAUGAAAUGGCCAAAGCUAUUCUAAUGCAUAGAAGAGGGUCACUUUUUUGCAAGUGUAGAGCAACAGCCCUUAAGAAAUUGAGUAAAUCUUAUAUAUACUGACAGUGUAUAUACUAUCACUGUUCGAUUCAUGAUAUGUUCAAAUUCAAAUCUUGUAUAGUUGUCAUUCAUCCAACGCUGAUAGUGUAUACACUGUCAGUGUAGGAAAGAUUAAUCCUUAGAAAUUAUACAAAACUGGGAGGAAAAUCACUAAGAAGCUGUCUUGCACUUUAGCAUUAUGCAUGGCAUCUUGUUAAUUUGAAUAUUUAUGGACUCUGCUGUUCAAGCUUGCUGGCGCUGAUGGCUAAUGGUUUCUGCAAAUACUUGCUAUAAAAUGACUAUUUGCAAUUGAAGACAUCUAAAGUGUAAAGGAAAACAUUGGUGCUCACAAAUUGAUAAUAGCAGAAAAGCAAGCAAUUGACACAAAAUAAUGAGAACCAGAAAAGGCAGGAGAAAAUUUGAUAAACUAAAUAUGGAAUACCGUAAAGGACUACUUAUUUGAAUUACUGCUUCUGUGUCAUCAAGCAUUAAGACAGCACUUUCUUGCCCCAAAACAAUAUCAAGACUUUGUGGUGUCUCUGUGUGCAAUCUCUUUGUGCAAUCACUCUGGAGUUGGAAUAGACAUCUCCAGGGUCAAGCAAUUUUGCCAUUUGCAAUGCAUAUGCAUGUGCACCAUCAUGUAUAUGUACAUCUCAACCAAAAAGCAGCUUAUUAUCUCAAGUUUGACACAAACAUUUCAUCAAAUGCUUGAUAACCUCAACAGGUGAUCCAACAGAAACAAAUGGACAUUUUAUCCUCCAAAGAUCCGAAUAGAAUUGGAUAAGACAAUGGCCAUAGAAAACCGGCAGCAUACACAACAAACAUUCAGAAAAUCAAAGAUACUAACCUGUAUGUAAUAAAUCCCAAUCUUUCAAUCAAAAGAGAGAUGCUGAUAUAACCUCUAGUAUCUUAGGAUACCAGUGUAUGUCAAAAUUCCAGUUCAUUCCAGUUGGAAACUCAGAGAUGGUGUGCAUGACAUCGAAGACAUUUCAAUUAUAUAGUAUGUAUUGGCGGAUGUCUUAACCAACACAGAGACACACCUAGAGGGAGACAUGGAGCAUGCUUUGUGAGAUAAGGUAGUAAGGAGGAAGAUGGUUGAGAAGUAGAAACAUUUUCUGUUCCAUUUAUAUCAUGAAGUUGGGUGACCAUAAGAUACUAGUUUUCAUUGAACCUGUUUUCACAGGAGGAUGUCCUAUUCAAGGGUGAUCUAAGAUUGAGGAUAGCUCUUGAUAUGAGAAGUGUGGAUUUCAGGGACACAUGUUGAAUUGAUGGAAGGCGAACCCUGAGAGUGAGUAUAAACGUCAUCAAUAUUAAAGGUUAAUAGCAGCUGGCCAUGACUUGAUUGAUCUAAGGUCGUUAGAUGAGAACCAUUUGAUCCACACAUGGAUGUGACAUUGGGGGAGGAUAAAUGCUUAGAAACAGGCAUAACUCCACUACUAUAAUUUUCCUGAUCCUUCCUAAUCAUGUUACUAUUUGGAUUUGUCAUAGAGUGGAGGUUGAGACCAAUUAGAUGAGUGUUAUUUCCUGAGGUCUGAAUAUCUGCGUAUGCACCGUCAGAAUGCAUAUGCAUUGCAUUAGCAGGAUGAGCCUGAGAAAACAGCAGGUUUCUUGAUAACUCUUCACAUUGUUCUAUUGUGUGAGAGCUGUUUGGGUUCCUUUUUAAUGAAGUCUCAGCAUUGUAACAUUCAUCAAACCAUUUAUCUACUAAACUAAACCUUUAACUUGGAUUCCUUUUUCUUUUCAUCUUAAUGACAGUAGCAGUAAGGAAAUAUGACUAAUUACAGCUAAUGAGAGAGUAAAACUAAGUUAUAUAUAUAUAUAUAUAUAUAUAUAUAUAUAUAUAUAUAUAUAUAUAUAUAUGAAGUCCAAACUGCUAGAUACAACCAGUUAAACAAGAGAUACAAAGGUGACACUAAUUGUAUGAAUUUGUCGUAUUCGACAAAUGACGAAUCAGAGUGAUUAAAUACUAAAAGGCAGAAUGUGAAGAAGAAAAGUGAUAUGAAGCAUACAUUCAGCAGACUUUGACGGUUAAAUAGCAGAACAUAGAACCUGUGAACUCACAACCUAUGAACUUAAUACUCAUAAGGGAACUCAUGGUUGCAGAACUUAGAACCCCAGUUACAGCAAACAGAAAAUUAUCCAAUCAGAACCCAGCAGACUUUCGUGGUUAAAUACCAGAACGUAGAACCUGUGAACUUACAACCUACGAACUUAAUACUCAUAAGGGAACUCAUGGCUACAGAACUUAGAACCCCAGUUACAGAACUCCAAUUACAGCGAAGACAAAAUUAUCCAAUCUGUUGAAUACUUGUAGGGCAAACAAUUAGCCAAAGAGAAACAGUAAUUACCUUUAGCAGGAAAGCUUGCAAAUGUAAAAGUAGAAGGACCGUGAAGAUGAGCAGUAUUACUUCCUAAUGCAUAAGGACACAAACUUUGUGAGUCGUAACUCUUGAUCAUUUGCCAACUGGCCAACAAACUAAUAAAUAGAAGCAACUGAACAAGAUAUACAAAGUCACAAACUAAUUGUUUGAAUUUAUCAUAUUCAACUAAUAAGACUGAUUAAAUACUAAAACAAAAUGCAAGGAAAAAAAACAUUCACUGGAAAAGUGAUAAGUGAAACCAAACGAAGUUACAACUAAAAAACUAUCACUAACUUAUGAAACACAAUAAAAGUUUUGGAGAAAAAUUGCAGCACACAUUGAAGGACUGAAGAGAGUGACCUGAAAUUGAAACAACUGCUGAAUAGAAGUCUGUGAACGCUAAAUAAGAAGUUCUUAUGCAUCAAUUCUUUCACAGUGCAAUUAAAUCCCUGUAGAAAUUUGGCAACCAAAAUAAAAAGUAUACAGAGUAUCCAAUCUCUUUAAUACUCGUAGAGAAAAAAAGGGUUAAAAACAAAAAAGUCUCGUAUGGUAUACCUAAUACACAGAAAAUCCCUCCAUGAUUUCAAAACAUACAAAACGACACCUCAUGUUUCGAACUAAAUUAUAAACUAACAAAAUUCGUUAAAUUUAACGAAAAUGACGGUCUCGGCCUUUAAACUUACUGGAUUCCGUUAAGUUUACUAGAUUCUGUUAAGUUUAAUGUAAGUUUACUGGAUUCUGUUAAAUUUAACGAAUUCUGUUAGUUUAUAAUUUAGUUCAAAACAUGAAGUGUUGUUUUGUAUGUUUUGAAAUCACGGGGGGUUUUUUGUGUAUUAGGUAUACCACAUGGGACUUUUUUGUUUUUAACCAGAAAAAAAUUAAACACAAAAAAUGAGUAGUUACCUUUAGUAUGAAUGGUUGCAGAGGAAAAGAAGGAAGAAGCGUGGAGUUUUUUGUGAGCAGUAUUUGUGUUCCUGAUGUAUAAACAUACAAACUUUAUGAGUCGUUAAAGAUUUUUCUUUCACUCUUGAUAAUUUGCCAACUGGCCAACAAAAAGGAAAAUAAAAGGACAAACCUAUAUCCCUAACAAUGCUAUAAGCCAUCAUAAACACAAUAGAUAACGACACAAAGUUAAUGAAUUAUUAGAGAUUUUUCUUUCAAUCUUGAUAAUUUCUCAAAUGGGGAACAAAAAGGAAGACAAAAGGACAAACUUAUAUCCUAGUAAUGAAUAGAAAUCAUACUUCAUACUUAACUCUUUCUGGAACAAUCCCACGGUUGGAUAUGGAUGAGCAGCCAUAAUUUAGGGAAAAAGCGUCAAAUUAUUGGCCAAGUGGUGGAGGAGUUCAAUUGGUAUUUUUGUUCCUCUAAACUAAAAGGAAAAGAAAGCUAUCAUUUAGGGGAAAAAAUCAUCAAGUUGUUGGCCAACUGUUGGAGGAGUUGAAGCGGUACUUUUCUUCAUUCGAACCAGAAAGAAAACUAAGGAGAAAGAAAGGAAUCGAAAACAGAGAGAGAGCAAUAGAGGAGAAAAAGUAGAGCUGAACAUGAAGACAAUGAAAUCUACAAACAUAUUUGUUGUGGUUCAAAGAUGAGAUAAAGUGCGAUUCGGAAUCACAAGGGCAAGCGUAAUUUAGGCAAAAAACUCAUCAAAUUUUUGACCAUUUGUUGCAGUAGCUCAUCUGCUUUCAUGCUUCUUCUGAAGCAAAAAUAAAACGAAAAAGAUGACACUACUAAAGAGAUGACAAGAAUGGUACUAAAGAGAUGACAAGAAUGGUAAGCAAAAAGUCAGAAAUAACCCUAAACUGUUGGCUACUAUUUUAAGAGCUUUUUUCUCCACUGGACAGAGUAGUAAUUUUAUCUAAAAAGACAAAAAUGUCCUCAAGGAUGACGUACUGUUUGGAGAAAUACUCAACAUUCCCAAGGCAUAAACGGAAACAAAAUUUUCUCCCUCCCUCCUGCCUUCACGUGGAUCAACCGAACAUACAAUCCUUAGAUUUUUCUAUAUGUGUAAGAAAUCUAUUGAAUACUUGUAAGGAAAAAAAUUAGCCAAAGAGAAACAAUAAUUACCUUUAGCAGGAAACUUACAGAUGUAAAAGUAGAAGGAUCGUGAAACUAAGCAGUAGUGCUUCCUAAUGUAUAAGGACACAAACUUUAUGAGUUAUUAGAGAUACUUCUGUAACUCUUGAUCAUUUGCUAACUGGCCAACAAACUAGUAAAUAGAAGCAACUGAACAAGAUACAAAAGUCACAAACUAAUUGUUUGAACUUAUCAUAUUCAACUAAUGUGACCAAUUAAAUACUAAAAGGCAAAAUGCAAGGAAAAAAAACAUUCACUCGAUAAGUGAUAAGUGAAACCAAAUGAACUUACAACUGAAAAACUAUCACUAACGUAUGAAACAUAAUAAAAGUUAGAGAGAAAAAUUACAGCACAUACUGAAGGACUGAAGAGAGUGACCUGAAAUUGAAACAACUGUUAAAUGGAAGUUUGUAAAUGCUAAAUAAGAAACUCUUCUGCACCAAUUCUUUCACAGUGCAAUUAAACCCUGCAGAAAUUUGGCAAUCAAAAUAAAAAGUAUACAGAUUAUCCAAUCUCUUUAAUACUUGUAGCGGAAAAAAUAAGACACAGAAAAAGAGUAGUUACUUUUAGUAGGAAAGGUUGCAGAGGAAAAGGAGGAAGAAGAGUAGAAUUUUUUGUGAGCAGUAUUUGUGUUCCUAAUGUAUGA